rnacentral:lncRNA from 1 species
CGGGACGGCUCAUUUGUUCCACAAUGGUCCCUGCACUCGUCCCGUGUGUUCUGCCCUGUUCAAGGAGCUGGGGAGACGGAAGUGAGAGAACAAGUGUAGAGCCAGGCAAGGCGGCGCACGUCUAUCAACCCUGCACGCAGGAGGCUGAGGCAGGAGGAUCGCCUCUAGUUCAAGGCCAGCCUGGGCUACAGGGUAAAUUCAAGGCCAGCCUGAACUGCAUAUUGAGACUUUGUUUCAAAAAAAAAAGAAAGAAAGAAACAUCCUCAUGGCCCGAGGACCGCGGGGCUCCCUGUAGGCCCCGGCAGCCCGAGGAGCUCUGAAAGGGCGCUUUUAUGCGAGUCCCAGGCCAGACUGCUGGGAAGCCGGUGGCCGGGGCGGCCCACAGGGCCAGGCAGAGCCACCGCCCAGGCUCCUGGGGCUGCAGACACAGAGAGAGUCCGGGACAAAGGGGCACCCGGGGGAGCGGCCAGCCCGGGCCUGCCCCCAGGAAGACAAGAAGACUACACAGGCCGCCCCGCAAUCUGCUCACUCGAUCGCAGCAGUCAAUGACACGGCCCUUUGUGCGGCCCCUGCCCCGUGGGAGCAAGGAGGCAGUGGAAAGGAGCUGCCCGGCAGCCUGGAGAGAGAUGGGGAGCAGAGACGUCCAGGAGGCUGAUGGUCACCGAGCCGCCGCUGCAGCCAGCCCCGGUGAAGGUGUUCACGGCAGCAAUGAUGUUCCUGAGCCUCUGUACGACCCGCUGUGCCCAGGAAGGGCAGCACCCACUCCUAGGUGUGGACACAGAGGCCCAGAGAGGUUAAACGACCUGCCCGAAGCCACCCAGCUGGUGAGAGCCAAUGCCAAGAUUCGAGCCCAGGCCCUGUCGGACCACGACAGCGCUGUCCUGGCUGUGCCACCUGGGGUGUAA